rnacentral:rRNA from 1 species
GACGAACGCUGGCGGCGUGCCUAAUACAUGCAAGUCGAACGCUUCUUUCCUCCCGAGUGCUUGCACUCAAUUGGAAAGAGGAGUGGCGGACGGGUGAGUAACACGUGGGUAACCUACCCAUCAGAGGGGGAUAACACUUGGAAACAGGUGCUAAUACCGCAUAACAGUUUAUGCCGCAUGGCAUAAGAGUGAAAGGCGCUUUCGGGUGUCGCUGAUGGAUGGACCCGCGGAGCAUUAGCUAGUUGGUGAGGUAACGGCUCACCAAGGCCACGAUGCAUAGCCGACCUGAGAGGGUGAUCGGCCACACUGGGACUGAGACACGGCCCAGACUCCUACGGGAGGCAGCAGUAGGGAAUCUUCGGCAAUGGACGAAAGUCUGACCGAGCAACGCCGCGUGAGUGAAGAAGGUUUUCGGAUCGUAAAACUCUGUUGUUAGAGAAGAACAAGGACGUUAGUAACUGAACGUCCCCUGACGGUAUCUAACCAGAAAGCCACGGCUAACUACGUG